CUCUGUCUUUCUGGCUCAUCAAGUACUAGCGGACUCUCUCUGUGUACCGUAUCAGUGCCUGAACUGUAGUGCAUCUGGAAACUGCCAGCUGUGCUCCAACACCUCAGUAGCCAACAGUACCAGCUGCAUUGGUCAGUAGCAAAAUCUUUUUUUCCCAACAGAAAAAGAGCAAAUGAUUGAUGAUAUUUGACAGAUGACUGAUCAUUCUUUCUUCCUCCAUAGAUGCUCCCAAAAUCUGCAUCAUAGAUGCCGCUGUAAAGCUGAUUGCUGAUUCUUUCCAGGUUGAAGAACGAUCUGCACUGACUGUGGACUGUAAUCAUAGCCUGCCUCAAAACAUGAACACAAGUUUCAUGUGGCUAAUAAAUAACAAUGAGAUGAUGGGUGAAAUCAACAGUAGCCUGGUUGUGAAGAUCAAUGAGACAAUAAAACUGGCCUGCACGGUGUUCAGUCCAUGUGGAAAAUUCAGCUCUAACUCUCAAGAAAUAACUAUCAAAGAUGGAAGUGGGCUCAUUAUCCUGAUCUGUGGAGUAGGAGCUGUGGUGGUUAUUGUCAUUCUGGGUGUUGUCAUGAAAAUUAUAAUAAAAAGAAAUGAAGGUGAGCUCGACCAGCGAUGCCUUUCUUUUUCAGUUAUUUUAAAUCAUUGUCAUUGUCAUUAAAUCAUUGAAUCAUUCCACAUUGUCAUAUGGAAACAUAUGUGGGUAAUUUAAAAUUGGUGGUCUCUCUGUUUUUCUCUCUCUUAUUUUUUAGUCCAAAACGAGGCAAGGAAGCGUCAGAGACAAGCACGCAUGCAGAACAUCAGCAGCACCACCGAGGUCACAGGAUACUGGUGAAGAGAGAAAGAAAUGUAUUGUUCUAUACAGCGAAUGUUGAGAAGACAUUAGCCAAAAUUGAGUAAUAAGAAAUUGUAAAAUUGACCCUGCUAUUUGCUUGGCUGAGAGGCGUUUUAUGAGUGACAUUAUCAGCCGAUAAUGCACUGUAACCGAAGCUCUCCAUGUAUUACUCCACCACAUACAGAUAACCUAGCAACAAUGCAGCGCUUACAAACCAAGUGCAAUAUCAUUUGAUGUCACCAUUGGGAGAUGCUAGAUCCCAUAGGCACAAUGAAUAAGCGUCAUAUCUCUAAUAAGCAGCGCAGGAAAAGAUGCUGUCCC
rnacentral:lncRNA from 1 species